UACGGAGGGUGCAAGCGUUAAUCGGAAUUACUGGGUGUAAAGCGCGCGUAGGUGGCUAUUUAAGUCGAAUGUGAAAGCCCCGGGCUCAACCUGGGAACUGCAUCCGAUACUGGGUGGCUAGAGUACGAUAGAGGGUAGUGGAAUUUCAGGUGUAGCGGUGAAAUGCGUAGAGAUCUGAAGGAACAUCAGUGGCGAAGGCGGCUACCUGGAUUGAUACUGACACUGAGGUGCGAAAGCGUGGGGAGCAAACAGG
rnacentral:rRNA from 1 species